rnacentral:ncRNA from 1 species
GAAAAUUCUAUGAAAAAGAGAGUAGCCUAAAUGGAGUUAUAGCGAGUUAGGGUAUGGUGUGAGCCUAAUAAUAAAGUUUAGAGUGAAGAGAGCUUUGGAGAAGAUUAUCAGAACUUAAGUAUGAUAAUAGGUAGCGCCUGCCUUAAGGGUUUGAGUGGAUAGGUAAGUGCACUACCUAUCAACAAGAGUGGUAACGCGGUUAAUUCGUCUCUUAG